rnacentral:misc_RNA from 1 species
GAUGAAGAACGUAGCGAAAUGCGAUAAGUAAUGUGAAUUGCAGAUUUCAGUGAAUCAUCGAAUCUUUGAACGCACCUUGCGCCUUGUGGUAUUCCACAAGGCAUGCCCGUUUGAGUAUCAUUAAAUCAUCAACUCUAAAACCUUUGUGGUUUUUUUUAGAGCUUGGUCUUGAGGGUUUUGCAGGCUUUUUUUUUUUUUCGAGUCUGCUCCCUUUAAAUGCAUUAGCGAGACUUCCCUCUGCUGAACCGUCUCUUUGACGUGAUAAUUAUCUGCGUCGAAUUUUGGUUCUCGUUGGGCUUGCUUCUAAUCGUCUGUUAAAGACAAAACGGAUUUGGGUGCAUAUAUGCGCCUUUUUCCAAAACCUUUUUUUGAUCUCAAAUCGGGUAGGACUACCCGCUGAACUUAAGCAUAUCAAUAAGCGGAGGA